UCCUACGGGAGGCAGCAGUGGGGAAUAUUGCACAAUGGGGGAGACCCUGAUGCAGCGACGCCGCGUGAAGGAAGAAGUAUUUCGGUAUGUAAACUUCUAUCAGCAGGGAAGAAAAUGACGGUACCUGACUAAGAAGCCCCGGCUAACUACGUGCCAGCAGCCGCGGUAAUACGUAGGGGGCAAGCGUUAUCCGGAUUUACUGGGUGUAAAGGGAGCGUAGACGGCAUAGCAAGUCUGAAGUGAAAGCCCAAGGCUCAACCAUGGGACUGCUUUGGAAACUGUUAAGCUAGAGUGCUGGAGAGGUA
rnacentral:rRNA from 1 species